rnacentral:rRNA from 1 species
UCCAGCAAUGCCGCGUGUGUGAAGAAGGUUUUCGGAUUGUNAAGCACUUUCAGCGGGGACGAUGAUGACGGUACCCGCAGAAGANGCCCCGGCUAACUUCGUGCCAGCAGCCGCGGUAAUACGAAGGGGGCAAGCGUUGCUCGGAAUGACUGGGCGUAAAGGGCGCGUAGGCGGUUGACANNUCAGAUGUGAAAUUCCCGGGCUUAACCUGGGGGCUGCAUUUGAUACGUGGCGACUAGAGUGUGAGAGAGGGUUGUGGAAUUCCCAGUGUAGAGGUGAAAUUCGUAGAUAUUGGGGAGAACACCGGUGGCGAAGGCGGCAACCUGGCUCAUGACUGACGCUGANGCGCNAAANCGUNGGGGAGCAAACAGGAUUAGAUACCCU